GCAAAGCUGGGUAACGUGAUGCCAUUCCACGAUGGGUUUCCAACUGGACCACAGCUGCAGCCUCAGGCUCAUGGAGUUCUGGAGCCCGAGGAAACUUCAUUUACAGGACUUCCCAAAGCCUGGUAUGAAAAGUGCAGUUUGGACAGAUUGUUGCUGCCACUGGAAAAACAAAUUAAAUGAAACUGGCACCCGGCUCACUGGUGAGACUGGCCGUAAACAAGCCGGGGAAUGUUGGAGAUGGCCCUAAGAAACCGAAAUCAAAUAAAAAGCCCAGCUGCAAAGAA